rnacentral:piRNA from 1 species
UCCUGAUGGAGUUGAUAUCAGCUGUGUGA